rnacentral:rRNA from 1 species
AAAACAUGUCUGUUUGAAGGUGUAGAGAGUCUAACCUGCCCACUGACUAUAUUAGUUGAAGGGCUGCGGUAUUUUGACCGUGCAAAGGUAGCAUAAUCAUUAGUUUCUUAAUUAGAGGCUUGUAUGAAUGGUUGGACAAAAAAAUAGCUGUCUCUGAGAUAAUACUAAAAUUUAACUUUUAAGUGAAAAGGCUGAAAUAGGUUAAGGGGACGAUAAGACCCUAUAAAGCUUUACAUUUAAUUUAAUUAAUAUUGAUUUAUAUAUUGAUAUAGGUGUAAAUUAGUUAAAUGUUGUGCUGGGGUGGUAUAAGUAUAAUUACUGUAACUGCUUAAUAGUAAUACAAAUAUAGGUGAAUUAUGUGUGAUUAAUUGAUCCUUGAUAAAGAUUAAAAGAUUAAGUUACUUUAGGGAUAACAGCGUUAUUUUCUUUGAGAGUUCAUAUCAAAAAGAGAGAUUGCGACCUCGAUGUUGAAUUAAAAUAUCUUUAUGGUGCAGGAGCUGUAACGGAAGGUCUGUUCGACCUUUAAAUUUUUACGUGAUCUGAGUUC